GACGAACGCUGGCGGCGUGCUUAACACAUGCAAGUCUACGAGAUAAGGGUAGCAAUACCCUGUGUAAAGUGGCGCACGGGUGAGUAACACGUAAGCAAUCUACCUUUAGGUCUGGAAUAACCCCGAGAAAUCGGGGCUAAUACCGGAUGAUGCAGCGGCACCGCAUGGUGAUGUUGUUAAAGUUCAUGAAACGCCUAGAGAUGAGCUUGCGUCUGAUUAGCUAGUUGGUGAGGUAACGGCCCACCAAGGCUACGAUCAGUAACUGGUCUGAGAGGAUGAUCAGUCACACUGGAACUGAGACACGGUCCAGACUCCUACGGGUGGCAG
rnacentral:rRNA from 1 species